CAUGGACUUGACUCCUAGUUCUGGCCCUGGCCCUGGCCCUGGCCCUGGCCCUUGGCUCACAUUCCUGACUCCUGCUCCAGCCACUAGGCCUGACUGUCCAUGUCCCAGUGGUGACAAACAGGAAGUGAAACGGGCCAAGCUAGCUUUGCUGUGUGGGUGGACUGAUGAGCAAACAGCAUCAGUGUUGAGAAGUACAUGAGGUGCACAAGGGACAACUCCCUGCAAUCCCAAGCUUUGAUGAAUCUUCACUGUUCCCAUUUUCUUCGUUACUGGCUCUAAGAACAACUCUAAAGAUAGACCCAAGUGCAAAAUUUGGCUUCAAAGCCAAACUUCCCACAUUUUGGGUGUAUCUGGGUCAACAGCUUUGAUUUGGCUUGACCUGUCAUGGAGCUAUGAGAAUCGCUCGGAUCAUUCUUCCAGCAAGGAUCCGCAAGAUUCGUUCCCACUGAUUGCAUCAUACUCUACAUCAAACUCAUUCAGAAUUCUGUUCCAGAGAAGAAAAGAAUGCAAAUGAGUCUCCACCAGUACAAACCUUUUGGGAGCUCUUCAGGAGACGUGAUCCCACUUUUAAGGAAGGGCUGGAGAAGAGAGGUUAGGAAUGGGCUGAUCGAUAAAGCAGAGGAGCAUCCAGAAGUCGGCAACGUGUACAUUCAAAGGGAAAACAAGCAGGGCUGGAUUGUCGCUUGAAAUAUGGACGUUGCACAGGCAUAUCCCCUUCAGUGGCUGCACUGUAGUGAGUUUCCUGCUUGUGUCACUCCCAUGUAGCAUUGGAAAAGUCUUUGGCAAGUUUGCCUUUAAAUAGGGUUGAAAGCUACAAGAAUCAACAUGGAUCAGGAGGCGUUUCUAGAGGUUAAAAAGAAAGCUAACGAGCCAUCUUUACUGCAUGAGACAGCCUGAUACUCUGAAGUAAGGCCUAGUCGUGAUUUUAGCUCCAGUCUAUUCUGGCCAAAGAAGCCCAGAGCUCUGAAGUGCAUUCAUUAUUAUCCAGGCUUGUCAGGAGCUAAUCACCUGCAUUCCAGAUGGCAUAAUCCUGCAUUCAGAACGCCUGCUGAAAAUGGAAUGUAUCCCUUGGAGCAGAGGUGCUGUAUUCUCCAUCAUGCCGGAGGGGUGUGUGUGUGUGUGGGGGGGCUUUAAAUCAAGAUUGGGUGUCUUUUUACAAAUCUGUUCUACUUCAGCUGCCUCAAGGCAGGAAUCACUGGGGAAGGUUCUGGCCUCUAUUAUGCAAGAGGUCAGAUUGG